rnacentral:tRNA from 1 species
GGGGGUGUAGCUCAGUUGGUAGAGCGAUGCGUUCGCAAUGCAUAGGCCAGGGGUUCGAGUCCCCUCAUCUCCACCA